UCUGUAUAUGUGUGUGUGUAUAUACAUGUGUGUGUAUCAUGUACAAUAUAAUACACAUAUUAUACAUAUA
rnacentral:pre_miRNA from 1 species